rnacentral:rRNA from 1 species
UGGGGAAUAUUGGACAAUGGGGGGAACCCUGAUCCAGCCAUGCCGCGUGUGUGAAGAAGGCCUUAUGGUUGUAAAGCACUUUAAGCGAGGAGGAGGGUACUGGUAUUAAUACUACCAGGUACUGGACGUUACUCGCAGAAUAAGCACCGGCUAACUCUGUGCCAGCAGCCGCGGUAAUACAGAGGGUGCGAGCGUUAAUCGGAUUUACUGGGCGUAAAGCGUGCGUAGGCGGCUAAUUGAGUCGGAUGUGAAAUCCCCGAGCUUAACUUGGGAAUUGCAUUCGAUACUGGUUGGCUAGAGUGUGGGGGAGGAUGGUAGAAUUCCAGGUGUAGCGGUGAAAUGCGUAGAGAUCUGGAGGAAUACCGAUGGCGAAGGCAGCCAUCUGGCCUAACACUGACGCUGAGGUACGAAAGCAUGGGGAGCAAACAGG